rnacentral:tRNA from 1 species
GCCCCCGUGGUCCAACUGGGAGAGACGACGCUCUUAAAAAGCGUGCCGGUGUGGGUUCGAGUCCCACCGGGGGCA